rnacentral:tRNA from 1 species
GGUCCUAUAGUCUAGUGGUCAGGACGUUGGAUUGUAUUUCCAAAGGCCCCAGUUCGAACCUGGGUAGGACCU